rnacentral:rRNA from 1 species
AGUGAACGCUGGCGGUAGGCCUAACACAUGCAAGUCGAACGGCAGCACAGUAAGAGCUUGCUCUUACGGGUGGCGAGUGGCGGACGGGUGAGGAAUACAUCGGAAUCUACUUUUUCGUGGGGGAUAACGUAGGGAAACUUACGCUAAUACCGCAUACGACCUACGGGUGAAAGCAGGGGAUCUUCUGACCUUGCGCGAUUGAAUGAGCCGAUGUCGGAUUAGCUAGUUGGCGGGGUAAAGGCCCACCAAGGCGACGAUCCGUAGCUGGUCUGAGAGGAUGAUCAGCCACACUGGAACUGAGACACGGUCCAGACUCCUACGGGAGGCCGCAGUGGGGAAUAUUGGACAAUGGGCGCAAGCCUGAUCCAGCCAUACCGCGUGGGUGAAGAAGGCCUUCGGGUUGUAAAGCCCUUUUGUUGGGAAAGAAAAGCGGCAGGUUAAUACCCCGCUGUUCUGACGGUACCCAAAGAAUAAGCACCGGCUAACUUCGUG